UCUGAGAGGACCCAUCCAUGAAGUGAACCUUCUGCUUCUGGAAAUCCACUGACACUGCCUGCAGGAGAGAGGGGGCACAGAGCAGACAGGUCCAUCCGUGGAUACACAGAUCAGUGUUACACCCUCCCCAUGGCAGGAACAGGAUCACCCACUGAGGACUGAGCUCAGCUGCACUGGUACCUCUUUCUCUGUCCAGAACUCUAUGCCCUGGGCCUGGAGGAAUUCAGGUUUCCUCAGGUAAACAUCCUCGGCUUUCAAGUUCAUUUCCUGGAAACACAACAAAAGCAUGAAAUGAAGCACUUCUUACAGGCAGCAAUUGUCCUGGAGUGUUCACUGGGGAGUCAGUUUGCAAAAGAGGUGAAUUUUGCAUUAGUGAAUCACAGCUCCCCACACCGCCCCAACACCUUGUCCCCACCCUCAGAAAAACCAUCAAACUUUAGUGGGAAGAACUCAAUAAAAGGAGAUAAAGCCAUCAGCUUAUGUUGACUCUGAUCAAAGACUUUCCAGGAGGAAGAAGAUGUUUCCCUGGAAAUAACACCCCUGUUCCUCUUGGAUGCCUCAGCACUCCUGCUUUGCUCACUCCAGUGCUCCUGGCCCCGAGUGUGGCCCAUGUCACACGUGGUGCCCGGGCACAGUCCUGCCCUCAUCACACACGAACCUUGCUCAGUUUGGACUUGUCAUAGGGAACAUGCUUCUCUUUGGUGGCCAUGAUGAUCCUGCCAGUGAAUCCCUCCUGGCGAAGAGUCUCUGCACACACCAGGGCAGCCACACCUACAAGAGAUGCUCAUCUCAGCCCUCUGACACAUCUCUGUGGAGGAGGAGGAGGAGCAGGUCAGUCCUCCCUGGAGAGGAGAGUGGCAGCUCCCAGUGUGUGUGGAGAGGGAAGAUCCCUUCACUGACCUCCCCCCAGCAGCAGCAUCGUGUUCUUGUUGAGGAGGCACCUCCUGCUUGCAUCCUUCACCCUCAGGCUGCUUUCAAGGUCCUGCAACAAAGUGCAAAAUGCCGAAGUCACACACAGCCUGAGGUGCUGCCUGUGCUCAGUGACAGCAGAAGCACGUUCCCACGUGGAGGAGCAGCAGCCCUCGCGGAGCGUUCUCUGACUCAGCAGAAAUCGCUGGAAAAACCUUUGCUCACAGAUGGAAAUCUGCAGCGAACAGGCAAAGGGGCAGCAUUCGUGUCUGGUGAUGGUGAGAGAUGGGACACAGGCCUGGCAGACACCUGGCACCACUUCUCCACGGUGAACAUUGCAAAAGGAAAGAAGGAACCUGAAACCUCACUAAUAACAGCAUAUAAACGUUCAGAAAGUUGAAAUAUUUGGGGCAUGGCAGCUGCUGGAAGCAGAGAACUGUAAGGAACUGCCCGUGCUGCUGUGCUCGGAGGGGAUUUGCCAGUCAGUGUGUUCUCAAUGGAAUUUUGCUAAUCCCAUGGCAUACCUGUGCAGCUGGAGUGAGGAGAGAGCACAUCCUUCGUGCCACCGGUUCAUG